rnacentral:lncRNA from 1 species
GUCUGCCACAGUAAAAACACCAGCCUGGCCACUUCUCAUAAAACCGGGGACCCUGAGGCUGGAGAGGAGAAAGAGCUCACCUGAUAUCCCAUGGGGGUUGCAGAUCCCAGGCCCUGAUCCUGACUCUAGCACUGUUGCUUGCUCCACAUGGGCUAAGCUCUGCUGUGCAGCCCAGCCUCUGACAGCCUCAUACCUCAAGGUAGAUACUCACAGAUCUCUGGCCAUAGCCACUGUGCUGAAGAGGCAAAGGAAGACCCUGGGCUCUUGUCUCAUGCAACAUGGGUUAUCCAGCAGCCACCUGAGCUGUCGUUCUGUGCUAAGUAUGGAUCCCAAAAGAGCUCGGGUGAAGGAGACGAGGAAGGAGCGGUAUUACAUGAUACAAAACCUAGCACCUGCUCCAGGAUGUGGCCGAACCUGGAAGAUGCUAGGGGUGAGCAUACCCCAGACCCCCUACCCCGUCCCAGAGCAACAGAGACGGAAAGGAUACGGAAUGCAUCUGGUUAAGCAUUAGAUCACGUUAACCUCUCAUUCCUGAGAUGCUAAACAUCUGGCCGAAACAAGAGCAGUGUAACGGAA